rnacentral:miRNA from 1 species
UUUGGGUUGCCGGUACCGGGUG